AUUGAACGCUGGCGACAGGCUUAACACAUGCAAGUCGAGCGGAGAUGAGGUGCUUGCACCUUAUCUUAGCGGCGGACGGGUGAGUAAUGCUUAGGAAUCUGCCUAUUAGUGGGGGACAACAUUCCGAAAGGAAUGCUAAUACCGCAUACGUCCUACGGGAGAAAGCAGGGGAUCUUCGGACCUUGCGCUAAUAGAUGAGCCUAAGUCGGAUUAGCUAGUUGGUGGGGUAAAGGCCUACCAAGGCGACGAUCUGUAGCGGGUCUGAGAGGAUGAUCCGCCACACUGGGACUGAGACACGGCCCAGACUCCUACGGGAGGCAGCAGUGGGGAAUAUUGGACAAUGGGGGGCACCCUGAUCCAGCCAUGCCGCGUGUGUGAAGAAGGCCUUAUGGUUGUAGAGCACUUUAAGCGAGGAGGAGGCUACUGAGACUAAUACUCUUGGAUAGUGGACGUUACUCGCAGAAUAAGCACCGGCUAACUCUGUGCCAGCCGCCGCCGUAAAAC
rnacentral:rRNA from 1 species